UCCCUGGUGGUCCAAUGGUUAGGACUUGGUGCUUUCACUGCCAAGGGCCUGGGUUCGAUAUCCCCAGUCAGGGAA